UACGUAGGGUGCAAGCGUUGUCCGGAAUUAUUGGGCGUAAAGAGCUCGUAGGCGGUUUGUCGCGUCUGCUGUGAAAUCCCAGGGCUUAACCCUGGGCCUGCAGUGGGUACGGGCAAACUAGAGUGCGGUAGGGGAGAUCGGAAUUCCUGGUGUAGCGGUGAAAUGCGCAGAUAUCAGGAGGAACACCGGUGGCGAAGGCGGAUCUCUGGGCCAUUACUGACGCUGAGGAGCGAAAGCGUGGGGAGCGAACAGG
rnacentral:rRNA from 1 species